GAUGAACGCUGGCGGCGUGCCUAAUACAUGCAAGUCGAGCGAACGGACGAGAAGCUUGCUUCUCUGAUGUUAGCGGCGGACGGGUGAGUAACACGUGGAUAACCUACCUAUAAGACUGGGAUAACUUCGGGAAACCGGAGCUAAUACCGGAUAAUAUUUUGAACCGCAGGGUUCAAAAGUGAAAGACGGUCUUGCUGUCACUUAUAGCUGGAUCCGCGCUGCAUUGGCUAGUUGGUACGGUAACGGGUUACCAAGGCAACGAUGCAUAGCCGAGCUGAGAGGGUGAUCGGCCACCUUGGAACUGAGACACGGUCCAGACGCCUACGGGAGGCAGCAGUAGGGAAUCUUCGGCAAUGGGCGAAAGCCUGACGGAGCAAGCCCGCGUGAGUGAUGAAGGUCUUCGGAUCGUAAAGCUCUGUUAUGAGGGAAGAACAUAUGUGUAAGUAACUGUGGACAGCUUGACGGUACCUAAUCAGAAAGCCCCGGCUAACUACGUG
rnacentral:rRNA from 1 species